AGCAGUAGCCGCGGUAAUACAGAGGGUGCGAGCGUUAAUCGGAUUUACUGGGCGUAAAGCGUGCGUAGGCGGCUUCUUAAGUCGGAUGUGAAAUCCCUGAGCUUAACUUAGGAAUUGCAUUCGAUACUGGGAAGCUAGAGUAUGGGAGAGGAUGGUAGAAUUCCAGGUGUAGCGGUGAAAUGAGUAGAGAUCUGGAGGAAUACCGAUGGCGAAGGCAGCCAUCUGGCCUAAUACUGACGCUGAGGUACGAAAGCAUGGGGAGCAAACAGGAUUAGAUACCCCUGUAGUCCCUGUCUCUUAUAC
rnacentral:rRNA from 1 species